rnacentral:rRNA from 1 species
GUGGGGGAUAUUGCACAAUGGGGGAAACCCUGAUGCAGCAACGCCGCGUGAAGGAAGAAGGUCUUCGGAUUGUAAACUUUUGUCCUUGGUGAAGAUAAUGACGGUAGCCAAGGAGGAAGCUCCGGCUAACUACGUGCCAGCAGCCGCGGUAAUACGUAGGGAGCGAGCGUUGUCCGGAUUUACUGGGUGUAAAGGGUGCGUAGGCGGAAGAGCAAGUCAGUAGUGAAAUCCAUGGGCUUAACCCGUGAACUGCUAUUGAAACUGUUCUUCUUGAGUGAAGUAGAGGUAGGCGGAAUUCCCGGUGUAGCGGUGAAAUGCGUAGAGAUCGGGAGGAACACCAGUGGCGAAGGCGGCCUACUGGGCUUUAACUGACGCUGAGGCACGAAAGCAUGGGUAGCAAACAGGAUUAGAAACCCUAGUAGUCC